ensembl:lncRNA
AUGGGCGAGUGGAGCUCCACUCUCGAACCGGAAAUACGUCACCUCCACUUGAAAACAUCAAGAUGGCGUCGCCGUGAGUUCUUCAAACUUAAACUCAGAUCAAAUGUAUAUCAAGUGUUAUCCAUCCUCAUAUCACCUCCACAAAUAGAGACUGGAACUUCUGAGCACCAUCACCUUGUCUGCUUUGGGACUGUCAUAGCCCAGCAAUCAGAUGCAUCAGAACAACAAAGCACAACUGUGGUGGCCCAGGCACCUUCAGCAACAAGUAAAGUGUUUUAACAUUGAUGAUAAUGCAAUGUCAGUAUUGUAAUUAAACUUGACCCAUCUGACGUAAUUGUUCAUGCCAGAGAUUUAACAACAUUGUCAGUCAGGAGCAUAUUUAACAGGAGGCACACUUCAGCUGGCUUGAUAGUGACUUCAGUAAGUGUGGUUGCCCCCUCUUGUUUUUUGUGGGUAUAACAAUUAGGCUAGGUAAUCUCACUCUCUACCAUUUCCCUAACAAUAAACUUUUGACAGAUUUUCA